UACGGGGGGGGGCAAGCGUUGUCCGGAAUUAUUGGGCGUAAAGAGCUCGUAGGCGGUUUGUCGCGUCUGCUGUGAAAACCCGAGGCUCAACCUCGGGCCUGCAGUGGGUACGGGCAGACUAGAGUGCGGUAGGGGAGAUUGGAAUUCCUGGUGUAGCGGUGGAAUGCGCAGAUAUCAGGAGGAACACCUGUGGCGAAGGCGGCCCCCUGGUUGGAUACUGACGCUGAUACGCGAAAGCGUGGGGAGCAAACAGG
rnacentral:rRNA from 1 species